rnacentral:lncRNA from 1 species
AAAAACUAAAGCAGAUAAUUAAUUAAGGAGAUUGCGUGAAACCUUGUCGUGAUUAAAAGGAAAAAAAAUGAAUAUGUACUGAAACCAAUAAUUCAAGCAAAUGAUCCAAACCAGACCAAGUGUGUGUGUGUGUGUGUGUGUGUGUGUGUGUGUGUGUAUGUGUAUGUAGAAAAAAGGAGUAGCAGCUGAUCACAAGCCACUUAAUUAAUCAAGAUUUGAAGAAUAUUGCAGCUAACCCUAACAAAAAUAU